GCCUGUUUCCAGCUCAGUUCGUACAGCAUAGGACUUCUAAUCCCUGGGUCGUGGGUUUGAGCUGCACAGUGGGCA